AUAUGGCAAGCCAUUAGUGCCAAAAUUCGCCACUUUUCUAACCCGUUUGAUUAAGAAACGGCGUAAAAAACGCCGUUUAAUUAUUCAAAACGCCGAAAAAAACGGCGUUCUGUUUCGACAAACGCCGUUUUUUCCGACUCUCACAUGGCGCCCUGAACGCACCAUCCGAGUGACGUAAAAAGCGGCGUUCAAAGACACACGGAAACGCCGUUUUUUACGCCACUCGGCAGAAAACGCCGUUCAAAGAUGCAUAAAAACGGCGUUUUUUACGGCGUUCUGUGCCAGCUGUAACGGCGUUUAAAACGGCGUUUUAUUGAAAUUAUGCAGGGCACUCCCCAUGGUUCCCUCAUCCAAUUACUUUCAACUCAUUUCACCCAAUCAAAGAAGAGGAAGUGCAGACCACACUAAUGCAUCACCGAUUCACCUUGCUGCUAAGUGAUUGCCUAUUCAGUACCAGUGCUUGUCACAGUAUUGACUUGUAUUAUAAUCCCACUAUGCAUUUUGAUGUGUUUAAGGCAUGAUCAAGCAAACAAACGACAGAAUACUUUUUCUGAAACCUUAACUGUGAUACCUGUUAUGGCAGCUAACAGACACUCGGCGCAUGGCUCCUUUGUUUACGUUAGGGAUCAGCUGUUAGCGCUGCGCCCUGCAGCUGCGCUACCGGCAGACAGACCCUACGUCCCCAGUGAGGGAAGAGACGGGGGUGAUGUCUCCCGAGAAGGACACCUUACACACCAUCUCUCCUUCCUGUAAUCACUGUAAACGUGAGAUCGCUCCCUGAUAUGAUUGAGGAGCUAAUGACGCUAACCCGGUCACAGUGGCAGUACCCCGACACUGCCCGGUACUCCCUCUGUGAGUAGGCUGCCCGGCUUCCAGCUGCUGCGGCCGGACAAGACCAGAGACAGCGUCCGGUAUGAAGCAGCCACUAAGCAGGACAGGAGCAGGCUGCAGUGGACUGUACUGGCAGCAGAAAAGAUCAUUGGCACCCCCUGCCCUCCAUCCAGGACCUGCACCUCUCAAGAACCAGGAAACGGGAAGGGAAAAUCAUCACAGACCCCUCACACCCUGGACACAGACUUUUUUGACCUGCUGCCCUCUGGCAGACGGUACAGAAGCCUUCAAACCAGGACCACCUGACACAGGAACAUUUUCUUUCCCCUCGCCAUCUCCCUCCUAAGUGGUUGAACUGUCACACUGCUAGACUGCAACUGCAGUCUUUGGUAUUAACUUCUGUAAUCUCUGUAUAAAAGAAUUAGAUUGUGUAUUAUAUUGUUAGUUUAUACACCUGUGUGCAUAUGUGCAUGUGUAUUUAUGCAUGUCCAUACACAUAGAUGGAUUGUGUUUUACAUUUUUUUGCUUGAGAGACGCCCUCAAUCGGAACCUAAUUCCUUGUAUGUGUUUGUGCAUAUACUUUGCCAAUAAACGCGAUUCUGAUUAU